AUCCAACUGAUGAGUUCCAAACAGGAGGAAACGCACAUCCUGGAU
rnacentral:hammerhead_ribozyme from 1 species